CGAAGUUAAGCAACAUUGGACCUGGUCAGUACUUAGAUGGGUGACCGCUUGGGAAUACCAAGUGCUGUAAG